UAGGGAAUUUUCGUCAAUGGGCGCAAGCCUGAACGAGCAAUGCCGCGUGAACGAGGAAGGUCUUCGGAUCGUAAAGUUCUGUUGAGAGGGAAAAAGGGUCACCAGAGGAAAUGCUGGUGAAGUGAUAUUACCUUUCGAGGAAGUCA
rnacentral:rRNA from 1 species